rnacentral:sRNA from 1 species
UCUUAGUUUUAUGAUGUGUUUUGGAGAGGGCUGUUUUCUGAAUUUUACAGGUUCUUCAGGCCCUAUGAUGGUCGGGUCACAAAUCUUCGAAGAGUGACAUAUGUUGUUUUAGAUGAAGCGGACAGAAUGUUUGACAUGGGUUUUGAACCCCAGGUCAUGCGCAUCGUGGAUAAUGUUCGUCCUGAUCGACAGACGGUUAUGUUUUCAGCUACUUUCCCCAGAGCUAUGGAGGCUUUGGCUCGCAGGAUCCUGAGUAAACCUAUUGAAGUACAAGUUGGAGGCAGGAGUGUGGUUUGCUCAGAUGUGGAGCAACAAGUGAUUGUGAUUGAAGAAGAAAAGAAAUUCUUGAAGUUACUUGAGCUUCUAGGCCAUUAUCAAGAGUCAGGAUCUGUCAUUAUAUUUGUGGAUAAGCAGGAACAUGCUGAUGGUCUUCUUAAGGAUUUAAUGAGAGCAUCUUAUCCUUGCAUGUCUCUUCAUGGAGGCAUUGAUCAAUAUGACAGAGAUAGCAUCAUAAAUGACUUUAAGAAUGGGACCUGCAAACUUCUUGUGGCUACCUCUGUUGCUGCCCGAGGUCUAGAUGUGAAACAUCUGAUUCUUGUAGUAAAUUAUAGCUGCCCCAACCAUUAUGAGGAUUAUGUACACAGAGCAGGGCGGACUGGAAGAGCAGGAAACAAGGGUUAUGCUUAUACUUUUAUCACAGAGGAUCAAGCUCGCUAUGCUGGUGACAUAAUUAAAGCUCUUGAAUUGUCAGGGACUGCAGUACCUCCUGAUUUAGAGAAACUGUGGAGUGAUUUCAAAGAUCAACAGAAAGCUGUGAGUUUUUAACCCAUGUUACUCUUCUAGAAAUCAUUAAUGUGACUAAACCUUGAUUAUUUAAUUCUUGGAAAUCUUUUAUUUAACACUUGAAAAUUUUGCCAGGACUAUUUUUAUUUCUCUCUAGAGGGAAAAAUGAGUGAAAGCUAAAAUCCUAUCUUAUUCUUGAACUUAGUAUUUUGUGGUGUCUAUGUAGAGCUCUUAGUUUAUCUUACAUGCUAGAUGAAGUGUUUUUAUUACAUUGACAUACACCACCUUGAAAAAUAAUUAGUAUGAAUUCCUAAACAUUAAAGUUUUUACUAUGAGAUUAACUUCGUUUUCUUUUUUUGAAAGGAGGGGAAAAUAAUUAAAAAGAGUAGUGGGUUCUCUGGUAAGGGAUUCAAGUUUGAUGAAACAGAACAAGCUUUGGCUAAUGAGAGGAAGAAGUUACAAAAAGCAGCUCUUGGUCUGCAAGAUUCAGAUGAUGAGGAUGCUGCAGUUGAUAUUGAUGAGCAAAUUGAAAGCAUGUUUAAUUCAAAGAAGAGAGUAAAGGAUAUGGCUGCUCCUGGAACAUCAAGUGUUCCUGCUCCAACUGCAGGAAAUGCUGAGAAAUUAGAAAUUGCUAAGAGAUUGGCUCUUAGAAUCAAUGCCCAGAAGAAUUUGGGCAUCGAGUCUCAGGUAUUAAGUAAUUUGUUCCAAGUCUCAGUCAAUACUUUUAAGAAGUUCUUUGAUUUUACUUUUCAGGAAUUAUGUUGAGCACAAGUAAACAAGUUGUCCUAGACAUUGAGUUUGUGAGAAUUUAACACUCUCAAUACAGAAUUUUUUGAUAAUUGCAUUUGGAUGAUUUCUCUAGUGCUAUUAACUGAGGACUUUGGGCCUAUUCUGGAAUUUCUAACUGUUAGCCACUGGUAGUUUUAUAGGGUAGUAUUCUGAUGAGUCUUAACAAAAUCUUAAAGAUGUAUUAAUAAUUCUCUUUUUCUUUCUUUAUCUGCUUUUAUUGGGCACACAACUCCCUGGAUAUACAAACACCCAGUUACAUGACUCAAAUUAAUAUGGUCUUAAACAGUGGAGAAAUGUGAUUUUUAAAUAUUUCACGUUAUCUUUUUCUUGGAAGCUUACUUGUUAUUUUGAAGGUUUUGAGGCAGUCAUUAACUAUAACGUUUGUAAUGUUGGGUUGGGUCAUAGAGAUGAAGGAGCUCAGUGAUGGUAGUAGUACAAACAUUCAAAUUCGGAGGAGACUGCUAGGAAUUAGAGUAUGCAAAUGAUUUUCGAAAUAUUUACUGUGUCUGACAUCAAGAGUUAGCUAAUUAUCAACUACAUCUCUAUGAUCUAGUAGAAUAUUUAAUAGAGUUGAAUGUUCUCCAGUUUUCUUAUCCACUAGGAGGUACAUUAAACUACAUUAUAAAUAUAUAUUGCUAAAUCACACAUAUCAAUGAGACUAUGCAUUAGAAAGGUUUAUUUAUUAAACUUGCAUACAAAGUUAGUAGCUUUUCAGAGACUAAUUUGUGGUGUGGUCCCUACUCUUGUCUCUGCCCUCAUUUGAGAUUUAACUAAGUCUUCUUUAACUACAGGAUGUGAUGCAGCAGGCCACCAAUGCAAUUCUUAGGGGUGGCACCAUUCUGGCUCCCACUGUUUCUGCAAAAACCAUUGCAGAACAACUUGCUGAAAAGAUCAAUGCCAAGCUCAAUUAUGUGCCUUUAGAGAAACAAGAAGAAGAGAGACAGGAUGGUGGACAGAAUGAAUCUUUUAAGAGAUAUGAAGAAGAAUUAGAGAUCAAUGACUUCCCACAGACUGCUAGGUGGAAAGUUACCUCUAAGGAAGCUCUGCAGAGAAUCAGUGAAUACUCUGAAGCCGCAAUUACAAUCAGAGGAACCUACUUCCCUCCUGGCAAAGAACCCAAGGAAGGCGAGCGGAAGAUUUACUUGGCAAUUGAAAGUGCCAAUGAACUGGCUGUGCAGAAAGCAAAGGCAGAAAUCACCAGGCUCAUAAAAGAAGAGCUGAUCCGGCUGCAAAAUUCAUACCAACCAACAAAUAAAGGAAGAUACAAAGUCUUAUAGACAUCCGGAAAAAAGAUUUUUACCUGUGCUGGUCUAUGAUAUAUGUGACAGUUGCUGUCUGCAGUUUACAAUGUAUUGUAAAUUAAGAUUUUUAAAAUUCUAUCUUGCUGAUUUUUUUUAAAUAUAAGAAACUGGUACUUGGUAAAGAAAUCUGUCCGUAAGUACCCCCACAAUCAGUCAAACUAUAUUUAAAGCCAGCCUGUUUUCAGAGUAUGAUGUCCUUUAAUGUAAACUCAAAUAUCAAUAUUUUAAAUGUCCGGAUAAUGUUCUAGAGGUUUAAAAAAUGGAAAUAUUUGAACUUUCUAUUGAAGACAAUAAAGUACACAAGUCGUUAAGGGGCUAUUCACUUUAUCCUGUACUUUCAAUGAAAUUGUGAUCAUUUCCUAAGAAAAGGUAAAAUUCACUAUCAUAUUUUGUGUCCCCACCUUGAUGUUACAUGACUCUGGAACAAUAUGAACUGGAUUUAAGAAUGUUAUAAUAGAAGUCUUACAAAAUGGGUUGAGAGUUUUUGUUUCAAUUUUUAUCAUCAUAAAUGGGCAAAAAGUAGUUGGACUGAUUUCGGUUUUUAUACAAGUAAAGAUUUAAUAGUAUAAGGAUUUUUUUGCAUUUCUUUACACUGAGUGUAAAACUCUACAAAGAGUUUUAGUAUUUACUACUUUGAGGUUUCCCUCACAACUUCUGGCUCCAUACCUAGCCCCUCUUUUAUAAUCUUCCUUAAAAGAAAGAGUGUAGCCUAUAAAUACUAAAUAUGAUACCUUUUCCUUCUAGAAAGUGUUUGUUUAUAUAUCUAUAUAUGUUCUAUGUACAAAUAUCCUACUACUUUUAAUCUGAUUUUUCUUCAGGAUUAUUCAGUAGGUUGUGAAUUUUCUUUCUUAAAAAUUGUAAACAUAAUGGUACCCAAGUUUUAAACUUAGAUGUGCUUCAUCUUAGUGAAAUUUAAUUCACAAGGAAUCAUAAAUUGUGUUUUUGAGGCUGGGCGCAGUGACUCACACCUGUAUCCCAGCAAUUUGGGAGGCCGAGGUGGGCAGAUCACUUGAGGUCAGGAGUUCAAGACUAGCCUGGUCAACAUGGUGAAACCCUGUCUCUACUAAAAAUACAAAAAUUAGUCGGCAUGUUGGUGGGUGGCUGUAAUCCCAGCUACUCAGGAGGCUGAGGCAGAAGAAUCUGAGCCAAGAUAACACCAUUGCACUCCAGCCUGGGCGACAGAGUGAGACUAUCUCAAAAA